GCGCGAGUUCGUUUGGUUGCUGACUGGGUAUGCGCUCAUGAUGUUGCCAUUUACGGUCGUUGUGGAGGGCGUUUUGAUGACCUUGAAAAACAUGGCCGUAGAGUCAGACAUCGCGAUUCCACUUUUCGUCGUCACGGACAUCUUGCUGUUUUCGGUGGCCAUUUUCGUCUUCGCAGAGCCUUGCAAGCGGCGCCGCCGUGCCGCCGCACUUGUUGAGGCCAAACCCAAGGACCAGGCCGAGGCGCCCGCCUUGGGC
rnacentral:rRNA from 1 species